rnacentral:lncRNA from 1 species
CAAGCUUCCAUUUUUAUUAGCUUGUGCAUUGCUAAUAAAAUAAUUAGAAAUUAACUCUUUCAGGGAAACUAAAUGAAUUCAAAAGGUUUGUGCCGUCCUAUUUGCAGUGCAAUUUAAGGCAACUACUUCUGUUUGCAAAAAUAAGGGCUUUUGUAAUAUUUUUGAUACAUAUUCAUUCAUCUCCUUGCUUGUUAUUUUAUUAUUACAUAACAAGCCACAUUCUGAACUAUAUUUAUGCACUCAAAUCUGGUGUAUUUCUUCUAGAGCUAUCAGGCUGCCUUUGCUUCAAGAACAGGACCAAAUAGUUUGUAGAACUGUAAGCAGAUGGAAAUAUACUUGGUCCAGGAUAUAUAUGUUAUAUAUAACAUACAUGCAACAGAAGGUCUGCACCUGCUAUCAAUAGGCCAUGCAUGCAAUGAAGAGCCAUGGGUUGUGUCUAACUCUGACAGAGACAUUGCAUCUGUAAGAUCUUCAGAGGCUGCAGGAGAUGCUGUCAGGCUCAGGAGAAACAAAACAUCAGCCUGAGGAAGCACCCAGCACCACAGGCUCCUGUUUCAGGAAAGGCGGAAAGGGAAAUAGAAAAUAAUGGAAUAAAUGGGAAAAGCUUCAAGAGGAUGGAUAAUAA